rnacentral:rRNA from 1 species
AUUGAACGCUGGCGGCAGGCCUAACACAUGCAAGUCGAACGGUAACAGGAAGCAGCUUGCUGCUUUGCUGACGAGUGGCGGGCGUGUGUGUCAUGUCUGGGAAACUGCUCGAUGGAGGGGGAUAACUACUGGAAACGGUAGCUAAUACCGCAUAACGUCGCAAGACCAAAGAGGGGGACCUUAGGGCCUCUUGCCAUCGGCUGUGCCCAGAUGGGAUUAGCUAGUAGGUAGGGUAACGGCUCACCUAGGCGACGAUCCGUAGCUGGUCUGAGAGGUUGACCAGCCACACUGGAACUGAGACACGGUCCAGACUCCUACGGGAGGCAGCAGUGGGGAAUAUUGCACAAUGGGCGCAAGCCUGAUGGAGCCAUGCCGCGUGUAUGAAGAAGGCCUUCGGGUUGUAAAGUACUUUCAGCGGGGAGGAAGGGAGUAAAGUUAAUACCUUCGCUCAUUGACGUUACCCGCAGAAGAAGCACCGGCUAACUCCGUG